AUCAUAUUCAUAAUAAACAUUGGAUUAGGCUACUCCUAAUACACAUUGGAUUAGGAUUCUACUAUUACAUAUUCUAACACUCCCCCUCAAGCUGGUGCAUAUAAAUCAUAUGUACCGAGCUUGUUACAUAUGUAGUUAACACCGAACUCGGGUUUCUAGACCCGAAAGCAUCGAGUCCCAAAGACAUCGUUGGAUUAUCACCAAAUAAUCAGAAAGAAUCAACUGAAAACUGG
rnacentral:lncRNA from 1 species